AAUCCAUAGGUUAAUGAGGCGAACCGGGGGAACUGAAACAUCUAAGUACCCCGAGGAAAAGAAAUCAACCGAGAUUCCCCCAGUAGCGGCGAGCGAACGGGGAGGAGCCCAGAGCCUGAAUCAGCAUGUGUGUUAGUGGAAGCGUCUGGAAAGGCGCGCGAUACAGGGUGACAGCCCCGUACACAAAAGCGCAUGUGCUGUGAGCUCGAUGAGUAGGGCGGGACACGUGGUAUCCUGUCUGAAUAUGGGGGGACCAUCCUCCAAGGCUAAAUACUCCUGACUGACCGAUAGUGAACCAGUACCGUGAGGGAAAGGCGAAAAGAACCCCGGCGAGGGGAGUGAAAAAGAACCUGAAACCGUGUACGUACAAGCAGUGGGAGCACCCUUUGGGGUGUGACUGCGUACCUUUUGUAUAAUGGGUCAGCGACUUAUAUUCUGUAGCAAGGUUAACCGUAUAGGGGAGCCGGAGGGAAACCGAGUCUUAACCGGGCGUUAAGUUGCAGGGUAUAGACCCGAAACCCGGUGAUCUAGCCAUGGGCAGGUUGAAGGUUGGGUAACACUAACUGGAGGACCGAACCGACUAAUGUUGAAAAAUUAGCGGAUGACCUGUGGCUGGGGGUGAAAGGCCAAUCAAACCGGGAGAUAGCUGGUUCUCCCCGAAAGCUAUUUAGGUAGCGCCUCGUGAAUUCAUCUCCGGGGGUAGAGCACUGUUUCGGCUAGGGGGCCAUCCCGGCUUACCAACCCGAUGCAAACUGCGAAUACCGGAGAAUGUUAUCACGGGAGACACACGGCGGGUGCUAACGUCCGUCGUGAAGAGGGAAACAACCCAGACCGCCAGCUAAGGUCCCAAAGUCAUGGUUAAGUGGGAAACGAUGUGGGAAGGCCCAGACAGCCAGGAUGUUGGCUUAGAAGCAGCCAUCAUUUAAAGAAAGCGUAAUAGCUCACUGGUCGAGUCGGCCUGCGCGGAAGAUGUAACGGGGCUAAACCAUGCACCGAAGCUGCGGCAGCGACGCUGAUGCGUUGUUGGGUAGGGGAGCGUUCUGUAAGCCUGCGAAGGUGGCCUGUGAGGGUUGCUGGAGGUAUCAGAAGUGCGAAUGCUGACAUAAGUAACGAUAAAGCGGGUGAAAAGCCCGCUCGCCGGAAGACCAAGGGUUCCUGUCCAACGUUAAUCGGGGCAGGGUGAGUCGACCCCUAAGGCGAGGCCGAAAGGCGUAGUCGAUGGGAAACGGGUUAAUAUUCCCGUACUUGGUGUUACUGCGAAGGGGGGACGGAGAAGGCUAUGU
rnacentral:rRNA from 1 species